UCAUGGACCCUGCCUAAUUCCAUAAAGCCAUGCAUUCUGAAUGCCCAUCAAUGAUUACAAUUCUUCAAAUGAAAAGCCAUAACUGUCCCGAAUGAUAGCUUCCGGUUAACUUUAAUCUUUGGUUGCAGGUACAAGAUACGCCAUUAUCUGUUUUGCAUAUUCAUCAUACUACAUGGCCUGACCAUGGAGUUCCCAAUUAUACAUAUGCUGUUCGUGAAAUUUUUAAAAGAUUAUAUCAUUUAGAACCAAACCUUGGCCCCAUAGUGGUGCACUGCAGGUUCAUUUCGUUCAUGCUUUUGUUUAUUUGCCUUAUGCAUGGCAAUGAUGACUAUUGUUAAGUCACAUGCAUAUUUGAUAUAUUUCUGAGACAAACUCGGUUUCAGUGCCGAUAUUGGUAGAACUGGAACAUAUUGCACAAAUUCACAACACAAUUCAGAGAAUACUUGCUGGUGAUAUCUCUGCUGUAAAUAUUGCUGACACAGUCACUACGUUCAGGACCCAGCGUCUUAGAAUGGCUCAGUACAAUUUCUGCUAUAUAGCUAUCAUAGAAGAACUGGAUGACCUUCUAUCUCAACAGUAACAUGAAUAGAAGGUGUUGGAGAACCAAAGGAUUUUAAGCUUCUUGCCUCGUUUUGAAGUCAAAUUUCAAUCUCCCAUGUUCUAUUUGGGUCCAACAAUGCCUAUCUCUCCCGGCAGUUGAGUCUGAAGCAUUAGCUUUCAGGAUAUUUUGUGAAUUUUGAACUCUGUUAUUUUCAAACUUUCAUGUAUGUUAGAAAAAGCCUUAGUGCUUCAGUUUGUAUGUUGCUAAAUAAUUGGUCAGCAAACCGAAGUUCUCUGGAGAUAUUAUUGAGUUAUUUUCUGUGAUGUUCUAUUUUAAGAACGGAAAUUUCAGGUAGUUUUGUUAUUGUUUUCCAGUUAUAUUCCAGCUCUAUAUAAAAGUAGUAACUUUCUUCUAC